UAGUAGAGAAGAUAGUGUACCCCUUAGUAGAGAAGAUUGCUCUGCCUGCAGCUGUACCCGUGGACAAGCUUGGAUUCCACCAGUUCUGUUCACAGCAAUGCAGCUGUGGCAGUUCCCUGCUUAGAGAGAAGCUGGAAUUCGUUGGAACUGGAGCACAUUGUCCCAGGAAGCGCCUACUCCCUGCCAGGACUAUUUGGUACCCGAAGCCGAGCACACAGAUCAUCCUGGGAGGACAAAGAGCCAAAAGACAGCUGGUUUCCAAAGGUCUGGCCUCCACUGUGUGUGACACAGACAGUUGCAAAAUCCUGAUUUCCAGCACUUGCUGGAUCCUGAGCCAGUUGGUGUGACUGGGCAGGUGUGGGUCUGGGUCCUGUCUUUGGGAAUGUUAA